rnacentral:rRNA from 1 species
GAUGAACGCUAGCUACAGGCUUAACACAUGCAAGUCGAGGGGAAACGACAUCGAAAGCUUGCUUUUGAUGGGCGUCGACCGGCGCACGGGUGAGUAACGCGUAUCCAACCUGCCCAUCACUUGGGGAUAACCUUGCGAAAGUAAGACUAAUACCCAAUGAUAUCUCUAGAAGACAUCUGAAAGAGAUUAAAGAUUUAUCGGUGAUGGAUGGGGAUGCGUCUGAUUAGCUUGUUGGCGGGGUAACGGCCCACCAAGGCAACGAUCAGUAGGGGUUCUGAGAGGAAGGUCCCCCACAUUGGAACUGAGACACGGUCCAAACUCCUACGGGAGGCAGCAGUGAGGAAUAUUGGUCAAUGGGCGAGAGCCUGAACCAGCCAAGUAGCGUGCAGGAAGACGGCCCUAUGGGUUGUAAACUGCUUUUAUAAGGGAAUAAAGUGAGAGUCGUGACUCUUUUCGUAUGUACCUUAUGAAUAAGGACCGGCUAAUUCCGUG